rnacentral:siRNA from 1 species
UGAGUAAACCCGUAAGGCGCA